UUUGCCAGUGUUCAGUAGUCAUAUUCAGUGGUCUUUUCAAGUAUAAACCAGAAGUACUUUUGGGCCCAACACUUGCAGUUGCCUUACUGAUGUUUCAAAAC